UCCCCCUUGGAUGUCCAUAGAUAAUAUGCCUCGUUAAAACCUUACUAGGAAAAAACCCCGUGGGAAAAAAUCCUAGUGAAGGAAAAAGAGUACACAUAUCUUUUAAUACGCUUUGAAUGUUGCCUCGUUAAAAACCUUACCAGGAAAACCCAAUUGGGAUAAAACCAUGGUUAAGGAAAAGAGUACAAUGCGUAGUUUUCUCCCCCUGAUAAAAACUUUACUUGAUAUCUCGGAGACGAUGCAUUCCAAUC
rnacentral:lncRNA from 1 species